rnacentral:rRNA from 1 species
AGAGACAGCAUCGCCGCGGUAAUACUGAGGGUGCGAGCGUUAAUCGGAUUUACUGGGCGUAAAGCGUGCGUAGGCGGCUUCUUAAGUCGGAUGUGAAAUCCCUGAGCUUAACUUAGGAAUUGCAUUCGAUACUGGGAAGCUAGAGUAUGGGAGAGGAUGGUAGAAUUCCAGGUGUAGCGGUGAAAUGCGUAGAGAUCUGGAGGAAUACCGAUGGCGAAGGCAGCCAUCUGGCCUAAUACUGACGCUGAGGUACGAAAGCAUGGGGAGCAAACAGGAUUAGAUACCCCCGUAGUCCCUGUCUCUUAUACA